rnacentral:rRNA from 1 species
GAUUCCCUUAGUAGCUGCGAGCGAACAGGGAAAAGCCCAGCACUGAAUCCUGCCCGCCUCGCGCGGGUCUGGAAAUGUAGUGUUCGGGAGGAUCCGAUCAUCUCGUGCGGUCGCACCGGUCCAAGUCCAUCUUGAAAGCGGCCACAGCCCAUAGAGGGUGCCAGGCCCGUAGGACGGUCGACGUUGCACGAAAGGGUCUCUCCCAGAGUUCAAGAGUACGUGAAACCGUUCGGGGGUAAACGGAUGAAAUUCGGAAAAUCGAAGCGAGAGAUUCAAGCCCCACCGCCUGGCGUUGUGGGGUGCCCGCCGAUGGCGCAUCGGGGCCCGCGCGUCGCAGCAAUGCGCGCCGGUGUCCUUCGGUUCGUCACGUGGCGCUCCGCGCGUCGGCGUCGGGCCGCACUUUUCUCGUUGUAGUACGUCGCGACCCGUUGGGCGCGCGUCUAAGGCCCGCCUGGUCGUUGGUCGGGGUCUGCGGCGCGGCGGCCGUGCCCGCCCCCGGCCAGCCGGCGGUGUCCCGGCGCGCCGGCUCGACGGUAGUCGGACCGACAAGAACCCUCGGGGGGCGGCCUCACGGCACGGUCCGGGUCAGCGACG